CCUCUGUGUCUGUGUAGAUCGGAUAUAUUUCCCACAGAACAUCUGUACAUGUUCGGAGCACCACGUGUUAUAAAAUAAAUUCUGGAAGUCAGUCGAGAGAAUGCUUUGAGCUGCCGCAAGCUAGCCAUAUUACCGCUACUAUAUUAAACUGUCUGCGUCGUUUCUGUGUUUAAUAAAUACAACUGCUAUUUCACAACAUAGAAAAUUUGUAAAAGUAAAUAAACACUUUAUAUAAACAUAUUAGUGAAUGCUGUUUGCACGUGAAUGUGUUUCCACUUUCCAUUCGAAAAUAUACAGAACAUUUUCCUCUCUGUAUUAAAGUCUAAAAUAAAAGUAACAAAC